AACCGGGCGGACCGCCUCGACGGUACGGAG
rnacentral:sRNA from 1 species